UACGAAGGGGCUAGCGUUGUUCGGAAUUACUGGGCGUAAAGCGCGCGCAGGCGGUCUUCCAAGUCAGUGGUGAAAGCCCGGAAGCUCAACUCCCGGAACUGCCAUUGAAACUGUUGGACUUGAGUACGAGAGUAGGUGAGUGGAAUUCCCAGUGUAGAGGUGAAAUUCGUAGAUAUUGGGAAGAACACCGGUGGCGAAGGCGGCUCACUGGCUCGGUAACUGACGCUCAGGCGCGACAGCGUGGGAGUCGAA
rnacentral:rRNA from 1 species